rnacentral:misc_RNA from 1 species
ACAGCUGAGUAGCUCACAUUACCAGGAUCCUCAUGAAGCAUAUUAUAAACGACCGGAUCUACUUCACGUGGAAGAGCCCGCAUGAUUGUGAGCGUUGUCAUGUCAAGAACCACCCUAGUUCCGGCAGUCAAUUUUUCCUUAUCAACCUUACUGCGGCAGCCAACCACAUAUCGAGGGCCACUGCUUGCUUUAACAAUUAAGCGCUCAUUGUCAAGAGGUCGGAGAACUUCUCCAAUGAUCUGCCCUACACUUUGAAGGGACUUCAAAUCAUCCUCUGUCUUAUUGAACUCUUUCUUAGCAGAUCUCAAAUUCUCCCUCACAGCUCGUACUCUGGAUUCCAGCUCCUUGUGCUGGAGUAACUUCUUGCGAUAGUCCGCUACGGCAUUACGACGCCGUGCUGCAUCUUCUCCAUCGCUGCUGCUCAUCGUUCAAAUUUGCACUAGAUUUUCCUUUCCUUAUUUUCCUAAAGUUGCAACCCCUAAUGAA